AUGAUUCAAGUAGAGGAGGUGCUUUUACAAAAAGCCCUGCCUCAGAAAAUAGGCCCACCCAGCACAGGGGACUCACUCCCUGAAGAGGAGAAUACUCAGUAUUUCGGCCCGGGCACCCGGCUGACCGUACUAGGUAAGGGGGGCCGCCUGGGGGACCAGGAGGGCAGUGGGGAGGUUCCGGGGGGACCACGGGUAGCGGCGCCCGUUUUUGUGCUGUGCCCAGAGGCUGUGAGCCAAAACACGCAGUACUUUGGCCCUGGCACACGACUGACGGUGCUAGGUAAGCGGGGGGCAUCCUCUGGGACGCGCGCGGGUUUUUGUGCGGGGGUCGGGGGCCGUGACGGGGAGACCCAGUACUUCGGGGGCGGCACAAGGCUCCUGGUGCUAGAUGACCUGGAACAGGUGAACCCACCCACGGUCAAUGUGUUCGAACCAUCCGAAGCAGAGAUUGCCCGGACACAGAAGGCCACACUUGUGUGCCUGGCCACAGGCUUCUACCCCGACCACGUGGAGCUGAGCUGGUGGGUGAAUGGGAAGAAGAUCCAGAGUGGGGUCAGCACAGACCCUCAGCCCUACAAGGAGCAGCCCCACCUUGAGAACUCCACCUACUGUCUGAGCAGCCGGCUCAGGGUCUCUGCCACCUUCUGGCACAAUCCUCGCAACCACUUCCGCUGCCAAGUCCAGUUCUUUGGGCUAGAUGAGGCAGACAAGGAUGCCCGGCCCACAGCCAUCACCCAGAACGUCAGUGCUGAGGCCUGGGGCAGAGCAGAUUGUGGCUUCACCUCAGCAUCCUACCAGCAAGGAGUCCUGUCUGCCACCAUCCUCUAUGAGAUCCUGCUGGGGAAGGCCACUGUGUAUGCGGUGCUGGUCAGCGCCCUGGUGCUGAUGGCCAUGCUCAAGAAAAAGGAUUCCUGAGACCAGUUCCAAAAGGACAUCCUCAGUCAUUUUUAAUCCAUACCCUAGGUUCAUCUUCAAAUUCUUCCAGUCUGUGUUCCCAAUGAGGUAUUCUCUCUCUUCACCCUCUUAUCUCCUAUUUACAUGAGUAUCUGUCCCUUCUCUCUGCUGCCUUGCAGACUGAGUUCCUCAAUCCUGAGUCUUGAGAUGAACUAAAUCAAUAAAAAUGUCAUGCUGGA